CCUCCCUCUGCAUGCAGACACUGAACUUUCCUCAUAGUCACCUGAACAACUUCAGCUUAAUGACUAUGAUUCAAUUCAUCUCUAUGAGGAGAUGCUGAUUGGCCAGGACUGUGUUUGAAUCAUGCUGGCUCUGCCCCUGAUCUGCCUCUUUGCCAGUCUCAGCCAAUCCUAUGGAGAAGCACUGUGAUUGGAUCAGGCUACAACUUCUGAUGAUGUCAGCAGACUGUUUUUUUUCUGAGUCUAACAGCAUGCAGAGUUACAGCUUCAGGCUUGAAUACAGGAAGAUUUAAACUAUAUUUAUGGAGGCAUGAGGGGCCCAGGGGGGCUAGAUGGUUGUGUUAACACUAUAGGGUCAGGAAUACAUGUAGAUGCACUGGUGACUAUAGUGUCCCUUUAAUAUUUCGGGCUCCAACGCUCAAAUUUCU